CCUACGGGUGGCUGCAGUGGGGAAUAUUGCACAAUGGGGGAAACCCUGAUGCAGCGACGCCGCGUGAGUGAAGAAGUAUUUCGGUAUGUAAAGCUCUAUCAGCAGGGAAGAAAAAAGACGGUACCUGACUAAGAAGCCCCGGCUAACUACGUGCCAGCAGCCGCGGUAAUACGUAGGGGGCAAGCGUUAUCCGGAUUUACUGGGUGUAAAGGGAGCGUAGACGGCGCGGCAAGUCUGAAGGGAAAGGCAGGGGCCCAACCCCGGGACUGCUCUUGGAACUGCAUGGCUGGAGUACAGGAGGGGCAGGCGGAAUUCCUAGUGUAGCGGUGAAAUGCGUAGAUAUUAGGAGGAACACCGGUGGCGAAGGCGGCCUGCUGGACUGUGACUGACGUUGAGGCCCGAAGGCGUGGGGAGCAAACAGGAUUAGAUACCCCGGUAGUC
rnacentral:rRNA from 1 species